rnacentral:rRNA from 1 species
GACGAACGCUGGCGGCGUGCUUAACACAUGCAAGUCGAACGGUAAGGCCCUUCGGGGUACACGAGUGGCGAACGGGUGAGUAACACGUGGGUGAUCUGCCCUGCACUUCGGGAUAAGCCUGGGAAACUGGGUUUAAUACCGGAUAGGACCACUGCCUGCAUGGGUGGUGGUGGAAAGCUUUUGCGGUGUGGGAUGGGCCCGCGGCCUAUCAGCUUGUUGGGGGGGUGAUGGCCUACCAAGGCGACGACGGGUAGCCGGCCUGAGAGGGUGACCGGCCACACUGGGACUGAGAUACGGCCCAGACUCCUACGGGAGGCAGCAGUGGGGAAUAUUGCACAAUGGGCGCAAGCCUGAUGCAGCGACGCCGCGUGAGGGAUGACGGCCUUCGGGUUGUAAACCUCUUUCAGCACCGACGAAGCGCAAGUGACGGUAGGUGCAGAAGAAGGACCGGCCAACUACGUGCCAGCAGCCGCCGUAA